UCCCUGGUGGUCCAGUGGUAAGACUCUGAGCUUCUACUGCAGGGGGCAUGGGUUUGAUCCCUAGUCAGGGAA
rnacentral:tRNA from 1 species